UAAUUUGCAGAGGAUGCUUUUGGCGCGGYGCCUUCCGAGUGCCCUGGAACGGGACGCCACAGAGGGUGAGAGCCCCMUCUGGUUGGACACCAAGCCUAUGUAAAGCUCCUUCGACGAGUCGAGUAGUUUGGGAAUGCUGCUCUAAAUGGGAGGUAUAUGUCUUCUAAAGCUAAAUACCGGCCAGAGACCGAUAGCGCACAAGUAGAGUGAUCGAAAGAUGAAAAGCACUUUGAAAAGAGGGUUAAAUAGUACGUGAAAUUGUUGAAAGGGAAGCGCUUAUGACCAGACUUGGGCCCGGUGAAUCAUCCAGCGUUCUCKCUGGUGCACUUUGCCGGGCACAGGCCAGCAUCAGUUCGCCGCGGGGGAUAAAGGCUUCGGGAAUGUGGCUCCCUCGGGAGUGUUAUAGCCCGUUGCACAAUACCCUGGGGCGGACUGAGGUUCGCGCAUCUGCUAGGAUGCUGGCGUAAUGGUCAUCAGCGACCCGUCUUGAAACACGGACCAAGGAGUCGUCUUCGUAUGCGAGUGUUCGGGUGUAAACCCCUACGCGUAAUGAAAGUGAACGCAGGUGAGAGCUUCGGCGCAUCAUCGACCGAUCCUGAUGUUCUCGGAUGGAUUUGAGUAAGAGCAUACGGGGCCGGACCCGAAAGAAGGUGAACUAUGCCUGUAUAGGGUGAAGCCAGAGGAAACUCUGGUGGAGGCUCGCAGCGGUUCUGACGUGCAAAUCGAUCGUCAAAUAUGGGCAU
rnacentral:rRNA from 1 species